ACCACCGAGGAGGGUAGAGAGGCCCAAGCGCCGUGCUGAGGGGAGGGGCGCCGCCAUUUUGAAGAGGGGCAAAGGCGGCGGGGAUGGGGCUGUUGGUAUGGAGGUGAGGGGAGGUUGGGGCAACCUGUCUGCUCGCAGCCUCCUGCUACCGCAGGGCUCAGCACAGCCCACGAGCGAUAUUGUUGGCGUGGAGGAGUGCUAUGGUCUGCGUGUCUGCCAAGAGCCGUGGGGCCAUUUCGUGUUACCUCACGGUUACCACCGGUACGAGCCGUAGUGGGUGAAGGUACCAGCAACGAGGCUGGAGAUGGCCAGCGUUUCCCAGUUCUUAAGGAAUAAAACGUCAGCAAGGCUGUUGUCAACGACAUUCACCCUCUUUGCCUUGUUAGCAGAGGCUACACUGCCCCAUUGUUGUGUGCUGAAGAUGAGUCACGCUGCAGAAAAGCCAGAUGUUCCUAUUUGACAGUGGUCAGUGCAUCUCCCUUGUGGCAGGUUGGUGGAGGAGCAGGAUCAGGAAUCAAUAAGGUGCAGAAGGAAAAAAAACCAUGACUGAAAAGAUAGAGAGAGGCAUGGCUGUGAGUGCUGCUGGGAUCCCACAGUCCUUUUGUGGAAAGGAACAAAGGAACAGAGGAAGAGUUCCAAGGGGCUGGGCAGCACACCUGUGUAAGAAACACCCAAGAAGCACAGUUCAUUAAGAAAGAAAAGGGCUGGGCUCAGCAGGCAGAACCGUGUGGCAUGGCUCACCUCCCUCCAUCAGAUACCUUGCUAAACCUGGUCUGUAAUUCACAACUCUCCAUUUUUCAAGAAAACCUCUUAUGCUUAGAAAUUAAAAACAAAAAGCGAGAUGUAAACCUGCUUUUUUUGUUGUUUUUUGUUUUAAUGAUUACUUGAAUCCCCAUCGUAGAUAUUUUUAUAUUCACAAAACCUCUAUAUGCAAGUACCUCCAGCAAAACUGUGGCUAUCAAGGGUGAGCUGGCUGCUGUCAGCUUGCUGUAGGGUUUCUCGUGGAAGGACAUUGUCCUUGCUACAUAUUCCCCAAAGGAGAGUGGCUGCUUUCUCUGUCCUGUGGGAGACACACGCUCUACUGAGGAUUGUGUUAAACUUGGUCUCAGCCCACUUUUACAGUCAUUUUUUGUAAGCAGCCACUUUCUUUCUAAUUUUGCUGCUGACUAUUGUUUGCCCAGCUGCCGUGGUCCAGCACGGCACAGUUCAAGAGCAAAGCAUUACACAUCAGGGUUCCUUCACACGAUGCCUCUACAGCAGGAGUGGAACAAGAUCAAGUACAGUAGACAUCCUAAGGGAUGAUGCAGAAUGAACACCUUUGUGUAGCUUGAAUUAAUCACCCUGAACAGCCAGGAGCCUGACAAAAGAUGGCUGGAAGUGCAUGGGGGUCAGACAAGUUUUGGAUGAGAAAGCCGAACUGAAUGAGCCUGAGGGGUGCAUGGAAAAAGGGUGGAGGAAAGAUGGGACAAAUAUCCCAGGGCUGCAAGCAGCAUGUGGAGAAAUGAAAAAUGAACAAUCCUGACAAGGGCAGGAAAGGGAAAAACUGAAGUUCUAUGACAAGGAAUGAGGCAAAGGUGGGAGUGAUUAAAAUCUUGAGGUAGUGAUAGGCAGGUGGAGAUCAGAACCAAAAGGGAGAAGGACAAAUGUUUGGCUCAAGGCAGUUGCCCAGAUUUGGUAAUUUUGGAGCACACUGACAGGGGUAUAACUUUCAGACACAGAGAAGGCAUCAGGGGUCUUGAAAAUUUCCGUGGUCAGAGAUUUUGCUGGGGAUGUGGGAUGGCAACCAAAGAUGGCAAAGAAAAAAAGGAGUGAAGGGAGAGCAGCAAAGAAGGCAGCAGGCAUUUGUAACUAACGCUGUCCUGAAAUGUCUGGCAGUUGUGUUAUUCCUUGGUUUUCUGUAUUUUGGAGCAUCUCUCUUAAGAAUAAAUGCUGAGGCAGAUGGGCUUGUUCACCUUGGAGAAGAGAAGCCUCUGGAGAGACCUCAUUGUGGCCUUCCAGUACUUACACAGA